GAGGGUAUAGCUCAAGUGGUAGAGCACAUUCUUAGCAUGCAUGAGGUCCUGGGUUCAAUCCCCAGUACUUCCA
rnacentral:tRNA from 1 species